UACAGAGGCCUCAAGCGUUGUUCGGAAUUACUGGGCGUAAAGGGCUCGUAGGCGGUCUGUCGCGUCGGGAGUGAAAACUCAGGGCUUAACCCUGAGCCUGCUUCCGAUACGGGCAGACUAGAGGUAUGCAGGGGAGAACGGAAUUCCUGGUGUAGCGGUGAAAUGCGCAGAUAUCAGGAGGAACACCGGUGGCGAAGGCGGUUCUCUGGGCAUUACCUGACGCUGAGGAGCGAAAGCGUGGGGAGCGAACAGG
rnacentral:rRNA from 1 species